AGCAAUGUCGCAAAUGCCUCGCAA
rnacentral:siRNA from 1 species